GCCUUCGUGGUGUAGUGGUCAGCACGCUCGGCGCGUAUUCGAGAGGUCCGUGGUUCGAGUCCCAGCAAGAGCA
rnacentral:tRNA from 1 species